UACGUAGGCAGCAAGCGUUGUUCGGAGUUACUGGGCGUAAAGGGUGUGUAGGCGGUUCCUUAAGUUUGCUGUGAAAUCUCCCGGCUUAACCGGGAGGGUGCGGUGAAUACUGAGGGACUAGAGUACGGGAGAGGAAAGUGGAAUUCCUGGUGUAGCGGUGAAAUGCGCAGAUAUCAGGAAGAACACCAAUGGCGAAGGCAGCUCUCUGGGACGGUACUGACGCUGAGACGCGAAAGCGUGGGGAGCGAACAGG
rnacentral:rRNA from 1 species